rnacentral:tRNA from 1 species
GGCCGGUUAGCUCAGUUGGCUAGACCGUCGUGCUAAUAACGCGAAUGUCGUGGGUUCGACCCCCACAUUGCCCA